rnacentral:misc_RNA from 1 species
GUUUGUGGGAAGAGCCCAAAAGAAAGCUGAGAGAAUAAAGAUAUUACAACAUGCAGACAAGGAUAUUUUCAACAACCAUAUUGAGAAGUUGAAGUUAUCAAAUGUGUAUGUGAAGAAUCUUGAUGUACGCAUUGAUGACAACAAAUUACGAGAAAUAUUCAGUGCCUGUGGAAAGAUAGUUUCAGCAAAAGUGAUGCGGUAUGAUAAUGGAGUAAGUAGAAAAUUUGGAUUUGUGUGUUUCUCAAGUCCUGAAGAAGCAAAGAAAGCUCUGAACACUCUGAAUGGAAUCAUGUUUGGGAGGAAGUCUCUCUAUGUGGCAAUAGCUCGGUGUAGAAGAGAUCGCCACCCGGAACAGGGGAAGUAUUUUGCUGCACGCCAGUCUCAGUCAUUGUAUCCUUCUAACUGCAAUGUUAUUGCACCUCCAAUUGGCCCACCAUAUUACAAUUUGCCUACUUUCCAUCCACCAAUCUCUUUCCGACAGCAUCCUAUCUCAUACCAGAAUUUUGGUGCAAAUAUGGGUGUCCAGUGUCCACUAGGAGUGGAGAAUUACCAGCAACAGUUUUACUCAUAUUUUCCUUUGGGACAAACACACCAACAACUCAGAACCCCUCUGCCCAGUUCUGACAACCGCAUUCUGUAAAUCAUGCUAUCUCAAAUCUUUGUGAUCAAAAUCUGAACUAUGGAUAUUCUGGGAUUCAAAAAUUUUGGCUCUACCAAAAGGCGGAACAAGAAAGGUGGAGCUACUCGAGCUACUAGAGUUGGUGGCUUUUCCAGUUUCUAACAUUCUCAAUGCUAAAUGUAUUUCUUUUCUUUUAAAAAAAAGAAAUGUUCUCUUGUUGCUCGGUAAAUCUUUACUAGGAAAGACCAUCAUCAGUUUUGUCAUAUAGAACAUGGGAUUUUAUGACAAUGCCUUUUGCCC